rnacentral:misc_RNA from 1 species
GUAGGUGAACCUGCGGAAGGACCAUUCAUAAUAAGUGUUUUAUGGCACUUUUUUAAAUCCAUAUCCACCUUUUGUGCAAUGUCAGGUUGGUCUCUUUUUUUUAAAAAAAAAAAAAAGAGGUCGGCCCAAGCAUCAACCGUAUCUUUUAACUCCUUUGUCUGAAAAAUAUUAAUUCAAAAUACAACUUUCAACAACGGACCUCUUGGCUCUC